rnacentral:rRNA from 1 species
AUUGAACGCUGGCGGCAGGCCUAACACAUGCAAGUCGAACGAGUGGCGGACGGGUGAGUAAUGUCUGGGAAACUGCCUGAUGGAGGGGGAUAACUACUGGAAACGGUAGCUAAUACCGCAUACCCUCGGAUGUGCCCAUAUGGGAUUAGCUAGUAGGUGGGGUAAAGGCGCACCUAGGCGACGAUCCCUAGCUGGUCUGAGAGGGUGACGAGCCACACUGGAACGGAGACACGGUCCAGACUCCUACGGGAGGCAGCAGUGGGGAAUAUUGGACAAUGGGCGCAAGCCGGAUGCAGCCAGGCCGCGUGUAUGAAGAAGGCCUUCGGGUUGUAAAGUACGUUCAGCGGGGAGGCGUUACCCGCAGAAGAAGCACCGGCUAACUCCGUGCCAGCCGCCGCGGUAAUAC